rnacentral:rRNA from 1 species
AUUGAACGCUGGCGGCAGGCCUAACACAUGCAAGUCGAGCGAGCGGCGGACGGGUGAGUAAUGUAUGGGGACUGCCCGAUAGAGGGGGAUAACUACUGGAAACGGUAGCUAAUACCGCAUACUAUCGGAUAACCCAUAUGGGAUUAGCUAGUAGGUGAGGUAAUGGCUCACCUAGGCGACGAUCCCUAGCUGGUCUGAGAGGAUGAUCAGCCAACAUGGAACGGAGACACGGUCCAGACUCCCAGGGAGGCAGCGGUGGGGCAUAUUGAACAAGGGGCGCAAGCCUGAUGCAGCCAUGCCGGGGGUAUGAAGAAGGCUCUGGGGUUGUAAAGUACUUUCAGUGGGGAGGCGUUACCGAAAGAAGAAGCACCGGCUAACUCCGUGCCAGCAGCCGCGGUAAUCC